ACGAGUAUAAGUAAAAGAGGUAUACUAUUAAUUUUCCAAAUUAAAAUUAUAGGUUCAAAUCCUGUUAUUCGUA
rnacentral:tRNA from 1 species